UCAUCGGUGAUGGAUGGGGAUGCGUCUGAUUAGCUUGUUGGCGGGGUAACGGCCCACCAAGGCGACGAUCAGUAGGGGUUCUGAGAGGAAGGUCCCCCACAUUGGAACUGAGACACGGUCCAAACUCCUACGGGAGGCAGCAGUGAGGAAUAUUGGUCAAUGGGCGAGAGCCUGAACCAGCCAAGUAGCGUGCAGGAUGACGGCCCUAUGGGUUGUAAACUGCUUUUAUAAGGGAAUAAAGUGGGAGUCGUGACUCUUUUUGCAUGUACCUUAUGAAUAAGGACCGGCUAAUUCCGUGCCAGCAGCCGCGGUAAUACGGAAGGUCCGGGCGUUAUCCGGAUUUAUUGGGUUUAAAGGGAGCGUAGGCCGGAGAUUAAGCGUGUUGUGAAAUGUAGGUGCUCAACAUCUGCACUGCAGCGCGAACUGGUUUCCUUGAGUACGCACAAAGUGUGCGGAAUUCGUGGUGUAGCGGUGAAAUGCUUAGAUAUCACGAAGUACUCCGAUUGCGAAGGCAGCUCACUGGAGCGCAACUGACGCUGAAGCUCGAAAGUGCGGGUAUCGAACAGGAUUAGAUACCCUGGUAGUCCGCACGGUAAACGAUGGAUGCCCGCUGUUGGUCUGAAUAGGUCAGCGGCCAAGCGAAAGCAUUAAGCAUCCCACCUGGGGAGUACGCCGGCAACGGUGCAACUCAAAGGAAUUGACGG
rnacentral:rRNA from 1 species